GCCCUCGUAGUAUAAAUUAAUGCACUGGUCUUGUAAACCAGAGAUGGAACACUUCCCUAGGGUA
rnacentral:tRNA from 1 species